rnacentral:rRNA from 1 species
UGGGGAAUAUUGGACAAUGGGCGAAAGCCUGAUCCAGCAAUGCCGCGUGAGUGAUGAAGGCCUUAGGGUUGUAAAGCUCUUUUACCCGGGAUGAUAAUGACAGUACCGGGAGAAUAAGCCCCGGCUAACUCCGUGCCAGCAGCCGCGGUAAUACGGAGGGGGCUAGCGUUGUUCGGAAUUACUGGGCGUAAAGCGCACGUAGGCGGCUUUGUAAGUCAGGGGUGAAAGCCUGGAGCUCAACUCCAGAACUGCCUUUGAGACUGCAUCGCUUGAAUCCGGGAGAGGUAAGUGGAAUUCCGAGUGUAGAGGUGAAAUUCGUAGAUAUUCGGAAGAACACCAGUGGCGAAGGCGGCUUACUGGACCGGGAUUGACGCUGAGGUGCGAAAGCGUGGGGAGCAAACAGG